rnacentral:rRNA from 1 species
GACGAACGCUGGCGGCGUGCCUAAUACAUGCAAGUCGAGCGCAGUGGGGACGGGUGAGUAACCCGUGGGUAACCUCCCAUCAGAGGGGAUAACACUUGGAAACAGGUGCUAAACCGAUACUGAUGGAUGGACCCGCGGUGCAUUGGCUAGUUGGUGAGGUAACGGGUCACCAAGGCCACGAUGCAUAGCCGACCUGGAGGGGGGAUCGGCCACACUGGGACUGAGACACGGACCAGACGACUACGGGAGGCAGCAGUAGGGAAUCGGCGGCAAUGGACGAAAGUCUGACCGAGCAACGCCGCGUGAGUGAAGAAGGUGUUCGGAGCGUAAAACUCUGUUGUGAGAGAAGCGGUAGCUAACCAGAAAGCCACGGCUAACUACGUGCCAGCAGCCGCGGUAAUAC